rnacentral:rRNA from 1 species
ACUACUAGUAAGCAGCCGCGGUAAUACGUAGGGUGCAAGCGUUAUCCGGAAUUAUUGGGCGUAAAGAGCUCGUAGGCGGUUUGUCGCGUCUGCUGUGAAAUCCCGAGGCUCAACCUCGGGCCUGCAGUGGGUACGGGCAGACUAGAGUGCGGUAGGGGAGAUUGGAAUUCCUGGUGUAGCGGUGGAAUGCGCAGAUAUCAGGAGGAACACCGAUGGCGAAGGCAGAUCUCUGGGCCGUAACUGACGCUGAGGAGCGAAAGGGUGGGGAGCAAACAGGCUUAGAUACCCUGGUAGUCCACCCCGUAAACGUUGGGAACUAGUUGUGGGGUCCUUUCCACGGAUUCCGUGACGCAGCUAACGCAUUAAGUUCCCCGCCUGGGGAGUACGGCCGCAAGGCUAAAACUCAAAGGAAUUGACGGGGACCCGCACAAGCGGCGGAGCAUGCGGAUUAAUUCGAUGCAACGCGAAGAACCUUACCAAGGCUUGACAUACACCA